AUCUGCACAUCUGAAGUGCUCAUGGUGCGUAACAACGGGCCCCCUCUGCUGCGUCCUCACUGAAAAUCACAGGAAGGGCACGAGAGGGCUGAGGGAGGAACCGUCCUCUCACAUUACCGGGCUGUGGUGAAGAACCUGCGCCACGUGGAACUUGACUGUCAACCUCAUUCAUCCCAAGGUGAUGAACAUUUACUUCAGGGGCCCAUUGUGCUGCUGCUGCUGCUGCUGCAGCAUCAAGCUUUUAUUUUUUAUUUAAUCUUUGUUUUUUAAACACAUCGCUGCAUUCCCUUUACGCACCACCGGUGCGCUGCCUGACGGAGCUGCGUGGUCGGUGCGGCGCGGUGAGUGACGGCGGCAGCUGCGGAGCUGGAAGGAGACUCUUCUCAUGGGACCUCGCGGCUGUGAAGCGCCUGAUCUGGAGGCAGCGUGAGGGGGAGCGCGCAUACCUCCAUAGAAAACGGGCGAGACGAGGGGGAUUCUCUUCCUCCUGCGCCCCGACAGCUACAGAGGAGCCGAGGCCGGCGAGCAACCGACUGGACGGCGCGACGAAUUUGUCACCAGCCGGACAGAGACGGUCCGUUCAGAGCCAACGGGGCUGCGGUUGCGUAGCAUGGGAGCGCUAUGUUGUCCAGGAAGGGGCUCAUUCCUGAGGAUUACUUGCUGACGCGCUUGGCCGAGAGCGUCGUGCAGCCCAAGUUCAAGGCGAUCCCGAGGAAAGCUCGGUUCGUCGCCAAGAACGGCACCUGCAAUGUGGCGCACACCAACAUCCGCGAGCAGGGCCGAUUCUUGCAGGACGUGUUCACCACCCUCGUAGAUCAGAAAUGGCUCCACACGCUCAUCAUCUUCACCAUGUCCUUCCUGUGCAGCUGGCUCCUAUUCGGGAUGGUCUGGUGGCUCGUCGCCUUUGCGCACGGCGACCUGGACCAUAGAGGGGACGACUUUGUCCCGUGCGUAACGGACAUCCACUCCUUCUCCUCCGCCUUCCUCUUCUCCAUCGAGGUCCAGGUGACCAUCGGCUUCGGCGGCCGGAUGGUCACGGAGGAGUGCGUGUCCGCCAUCAUCCUCCUGAUCAUACAGAACAUCGUCGGACUCCUCAUCAACGCCAUCAUGCUCGGCUGCAUCUUCAUGAAGACCGCGCAGGCCAACCGGCGCGCCGAGACGCUCAUUUUCAGCAAGCACGCGGUCGUGUGCGUGCGAAACAACAAGCUGUGCUUCAUGAUCCGCAUCGGCGACCUGCGGAAGAGCAUGAUCAUCAGCGCCACCGUGCGGAUGCAGGUGGUCAGGAGAUCCACGACGGAGGAGGGCGAGGUGGUGCCGCUGGACCAGAUCGACAUCCACAUGGACAACCCGGUGGGCACCAACGGCGUCUUCCUGGUGUCGCCCCUCAUCAUCUGCCACGUGAUCGACAAGCACAGCCCCCUGUACGAGCUGUCGGCCUCCGACCUGCAGCACGACGACAUCGAGGUGGUCGUGGUGCUGGAGGGGGUCGUGGAGACCACGGGCAUCACCACGCAGGCGCGCACCUCGUACGUGGCGGAGGAGAUCCUGUGGGGCCAGCGCUUCGUGCCCACGGUGUCCGAGGAGGACGGCAUGUACGCGGUGGACUACUCCAAGUUCGGCAACACCGCGAAGGUGCCCACGCCGAGCUGCAGCGCCAAGAAACUGGACGAGGCGGGCGGCAUCGCCCGGUUCAAGGUGGCCGAGGGCGUCACCUUGCGGCCGUCCGUGAGAAGGCGCCAGGCGUCCGCGGCGGUGGCGCGCAGGUCCAGGAUGGAGAUUUGACGACGACGACGACGACCCAUCAUGUAAACCAGCAUUUUGUAUGAGAAUGAAUCAAGGUCAGUUUGAUGAGCACAAAGUCUGAAUCCACUGAUGUUUGAGAUGUGACUUUACACGACCCGAGGAGAGAGAAGGUCCAGUUUGAAUGUGUUAUACCUUUUUUAAUUUUUAAUUUAUUAUUGGGGCUGUCUGCAUGUAUCUAAAAGCAAUAAAGAAGAAUGCUUCACAUUGA